UGUCCGUAGGUGGACCUGCGAAAGAAUCAUUACCUAGAGUUUGUGGGCUUGGCCUGCUAUCUUCUAACCCAUGUCUUUUGAGUACUUACGUUUCCUCGGGUGGGCUCGGCCCGCCGAUUGGACAAAAUUUAAACCCUUUGCAGGUGCAAUCAGCGUCUGAAAAACAUAAUAGUUACAACUUUCAACAACGGAUCUCUUGGUUCUGGCAUCGAUGAAGAACGCAGCGAAAUGCGAUAAGUAGUGUGAAUUGCAGAAUUCAGUGAAUCAUCGAAUCUUUGAACGCACAUUGCGCCCCUUGGUAUUCCAUGGGGCAUGCCUGUUCGAGCGUCAUUUGUACCUUCAAGCUUUGCUUGGUGUUGGGUGUUUGUCUCGCCUCUGUGUGUAGACUCGCCUCAAAACAAUUGGCAGCCGGCGUAUUGAUUUCGGAGCGCAGUACAUCUCGCGCCUUGCACUCAUAACGACGACGUCCAAAAGUACAUUUUUUA
rnacentral:rRNA from 1 species